GCACCCAUAGCUCAACUGGAUAGAGCACCGGUUUACGAAACCGGAGGUUACAGGUUCGAGUCCUGUUGGGUGUA
rnacentral:tRNA from 1 species